rnacentral:rRNA from 1 species
UACGUAGGGGGCAAGCGUUGUCCGGAAUCAUUGGGCGUAAAGCGUGUGUAGGCGGCUCGGUAAGUCUGCUGUGAAAGUCCAGGGCUCAACCCUGGGAUGCCGGUGGAUACUGUCGAGCUCGAGUCCGGAAGAGGAGAGUGGAAUUCCCGGUGUAGCGGUGAAAUGCGCAGAUAUCGGGAAGAACACCCGUGGCGAAGGCGGCUCUCUGGGACGGUACUGACGCUGAGACGCGAAAGCGUGGGGAGCGAACAGG